AUACGGAGGGUCCAAGCGUUAUCCGGAAUCAUUGGGUUUAAAGGGUCCGCAGGCGGUCAAUUAAGUCAGAGGCGAAAGCCCAUCGCUCAACGAUGGAACUGCCUUUGAUACUGGUUGACUUGAGUUAUACGGAAGUAGAUAGAAUAAGUAGUGUAGCGGUGAAAUGCAUAGAUAUUACUUAGAAUACCGAUUGCGAAGGCAGUCUACUACGUAUAUACUGACGCUGAGGGACGAAAGCGUGGGGAGCGAACAGGAUUAGAAACCCUAGUAGUCC
rnacentral:rRNA from 1 species